GGCUUAUUGAUGAUAAUUUUAAGUCUGACCUGCCCCCUGAGGAGUUAAAUGGCCGCGGUAUAUUGACCGUGCAAAGGUAGCAUAAUCAUUAGUUUUUUAAUUGGAAGCUAGAAUGAAAGGUUUGAUGAGAAAAAUUCUGUCUCUAUGAAAAUUUAUUAGAAUUUUAUUUUUAAGUAAAAAAGCUUAAAUUUAUAUAGAAGACGAGAAGACCCUAUAGAGUUUUAUAUAGACUUAUAAGAUUAGGCUUAAGGUAUGAGAAGUUUGUUUUAUUAGUUUGUAUUUGGUUGGGGUGAUGGAAAAAUUAGAUAAACUUUUUUUUUAUUUAAACACUUAUGUGUGGAUAUUUGAUCCUAAAAUUUAGAUUGAAAGAUUAAAUUACCUUAGGGAUAACAGCGUAAUUUUUCUUAGAGUUCUUAUCGAAAGGAAAGAUUGCGACCUCGAUGUUGGAUUAAAAUUAAUUAUUGGUGUAGAAGCUAAUAAAUUGGGUCUGUUCGACCUUUAAAAUUUUACAUGAUCUGAGUUUAAACCGGCGUGAG
rnacentral:rRNA from 1 species